AUACGGAGGGUGCAAGCGUUAUCCGGAAUCAUUGGGUUUAAAGGGUCCGUAGGCGGGAAUCUAAGUCAGUGGUGAAAUCUUGCAGCUCAACUGUAAAAUUGCCAUUGAUACUGGAUUUCUUGAAUUAGUGUGAAGUGGUUAGAAUGUGUAGUGUAGCGGUGAAAUGCAUAGAUAUUACACAGAAUACCAAUUGCGAAGGCAGAUCACUAACACUAUAUUGACGCUAAGGGACGAAAGCGUGGGGAGCGAACAGGAUUAGAAACCCCAGUAGUCC
rnacentral:rRNA from 1 species